GCCAGUGUGGCAUAGUGGUUUGAAUGUUGGCCUGUUAAUCUGGAGACCAGGGUUUGAUUCUCUGCUCAGCCU